AAAAGAAAGGAAGGAAAGAGAAAGAGAAAAAAAUUCUGAAAGCAAAGGCAGAAGUGGCCUGACAAAUACAUACAAUCCAUUGUUAUUCAGGAAAGAGUGAUUUGCUUUUAGAGACCUUUUGGGGAUCCCAAUCUUUAUAAAAAUGAAACUAGCACCUUUUCUGAAGGAAAGUUACCACUGGGGUCACCCAGUUUUUCAAAAGUGAAUCCAGAGAAUGGGAGAAGAGCAAAAGGGGAGAAGGGAGAGAGAAGAAAAAGAGGAGAGAAGGGACUGGAAGAGGAUCUGGAAUUUUCGGGAGGCUGAGGGGGCGGUAAGGCAGCAGAAGGCAGAGUCAAGUUGUUGAGGGAGCGAACAUUUUUAUCAAGUGCGGGGGAUUUUAUGGUCAUGAUUUGAGGACUUACCAGGGAGGUAGAAAUUCAAUGGCUUGUUCUAAAUCAUCCCUACACCGUGCCAGAAAUUUCUGACGGAAGGAAAAUGUUUCUAUUAUAAGAAAAAAACAAAACAAGAAAAAGAGAGAAGAUAAUUUAUAAACACCCAAUGGAGCAUAGAUUUAUUUGUGAAGCUCAAGUUGAGAAGAAACUCCACUUUUCUCUUUGCACCCGGUUCUGGGGAGGAAAAAAAAAAGAGGCUGGGGUAAUUUUGCGGGGUUGGUUAUCUAUUUCUCCUGCAGGUUUAUCCGAGGGGAGGCAGGGAUCUGGCGGCUUCGGGAGGAAUUUGGAAAUUUGGAUUUGAAGGUGCUGUGGGCAGAUACAGCGCUGAUGCCAGAACGAAAAGUGCUUGAGUCCAGGCCUUCAUCUGCUAAAUUACAUAAAGACCGGCGCCCCUAAGGUUUGCCUGGGCAGGGGGGCAGCAGAGCUGGAUCCCCCCGCGCGCGGGAGCCACAGCUCUCACCUGGAAGCCGCGGAACGCGGGAGGGAACCGAGCUCCUGCCCCCUGCCGCAGUGCCUGCGCCCACAGCUAUCCCGAAAACGCUCUUUUCCCGACCCCCGACCCCGAUCAAUACGGGGAGUGUGGAGCAUCCAGAGGAGAUAUCCGAACCUUCCCGCACCCGCCGCCCUGGGGAACUCAUACCCCGCGCCUGGGUCGCCAGGCGCGCGCCCAGCCCAGACCCGGACUGGUACAAAGGCUCUGGAGCCUGAGCUCCAGCGGAGCGACCCCGGGGGCCCAACCGCUUGGGGAACCUCUGAAUCCCCAUAAAAGCCAAGACUGCAUUCCUCCCCAAACUGCCCCUUCUCUGGACUGGCUCACCAGGUUCCCUCUCCAGCCAGUGUGGGCAGCCCUCCUCCUGGCAGCUUCCUUUCCAUCCGUCCCUCUUCUGCCGGUUUGUCCCUCUCACCUGACCUGAUCACCCGCAUCCGUCGACAUUCCGCUUGCUCCCCUGGACGGAAAAUGUCAUUUUCCCAAGUCAAUUCUCUUUGAUUUGGACCCAUUAUUCCUAUUAUUACUCUUAUUCCCCGUUUUUACGCAUUUGUUGCCCAACCGAACAGAGCCACUGGGCGAGAAACACUGAGCCCCCAUGAGGGAAAUUCAGAAAAUUGACCAUUUGAGGGGAGGGGAACACUACUAUAUCUGAAAUCUAUAAAAUGGGGUGGAAAUACCAUAACGAACCCUAUAUUUUUAUUACGUGCAAAUUAUUCAUGACUUUUGGUAGCGCUCAGUUCAUAGAUUGAGACCCGAACAAGGUGCGGUGUUGGAAUAAACCAGAGUCGGUAGGCGCCGCACCAGAAAUUUUCACGUGGAGCAAGGGUGCCAUCUAGCGGCAGCUUUGCAAAAAGGUUCCCACCACUGGUUCUGCCAGGUUCUCUGAGAGCCAGCCACCACGGUGACAAGCGAGAGAAACUUUCAUUAUUAAUAGAAAAGGGGGAGGGAAAGAGCGGGCUAGAGAAAAGUCAUUGGAAUCACGAAACGGUUCAUGAAAUUGUGCAGAUAAAGUAAAAGAAUAAAAAACACGGGAGGAAGAAAAAAGGAAGUUAUAAGCUUUUUUCUUUCUACUUUCAGCGCCCCCCGCCUGCAACCAGCCCCUUCUACAGAAGACCGCCAAGCAGUGCGCCUUUAUGCACUCCGAUCGGCUCCAGCCUCGCCUUUUGCGUUUCCUUUGAAGAAACAAGCUGACUCCUUGGCUCAAUCUCAGCGCCGGCUGAGCCAACGGAGCCUAGGAUGGCCAGGCAACCUAGUCUACACCAGCUAUAAAGCCAGAUUCAUUUCCAUCCCUAACGGAACCCUCCUCGGAAGGCGUAAGGGAACCUCGCUAUCUCUGCCUCUCUAAGAGGAUCACUUCAUCCUUUCGUUAGAGAGGGGUAGGCCUGGCAUUUUGCAGGCUCUCUUCACUGGGGCCAGUCUUUGUCUCCUCCUCUACCCCAAUCCACAGGGUCUCCGCGGGUUGCAGUGUGGCAGGGGUGGGCCUGUGAAAAGCUCCAGCAGGAGGCAGCCCAGCCCGGGAGCGCCGGCCCCACAGCAGUGGAAUCCUAAGGCUUGGAGAAGAAAGGCAGGGAUCCCCCAAAAUGGGAUGUUUGUAAAGAGCCCUGACUGGGACACUGCAGUCUGAGAGGCCCAGAAAGGGCCUCUUGAAACCAAGCUUAAUUCUGGGGUCUGUUUGGGAAGAUAAUUCUUUUUUUUUUUUCCAACGGAGACAUUUGUAUUCCACAUUCAGCCCCUACCCAACCAGCGAGCCUCAGAACAAGGCUGCUAUUCCAUGGCUCUAAAAACCCGGGUGGUGGUGGGGGGUGCAAAGAACCCUAUGUGGCUGCUCAAAUAAGUUCUCAAGCCUGGAACCUGUCUAGACCAGUCUACUCUGCUGCAGGGAAUAGCAGAGAGGGUAUUGCCUUCCUCCCUUGCAUGGUAUUUUAAAGUGCCCAAGCCAAAGUGGUGAUCUCAGUUGCCUGAGAGAAGAGCCUCUUCCAGGAGUUAUAGAGCAGGCCUUGCCUUCCCUCUUGCUCUCCAGACAGUGGAGAGGUCUCCAGAGCAACUGUCUGGUGGAAGACCCCCUGCUCUAGGAAGACCCAGUCCCCUCUCCAAACCACAGAUAUUUCUUUUCUUCCUCUUCCAGUCUCCUAGUGCUCCUGUUGAAUGGCUCUUACUCAAUUUAAACACCUUGGGUAGUAAUCAGCUAGCUGUCAGCUCCACCAGUGAGUGCCCAGAGGUCUGUAGGGUCUAAGAAGAAACUUAGGGAACACAGCAAUCUUUUUUCCCAAGCUAUGCUUUUAGCAACUGAGAUUUCUACCUAUGGUAGACGACAGCCAACACAGAAUGAGACUCAGGAGAGAUUUAUUUUCUAGAGUGAUAUAUAUUUUUUGUUCUUUUUCUUUUUUCUUCCAAAACAAACAAUUAGAGCUCUAGGCCCCCUGCCCUCCCCACUCCCACCCACAACCCUCCCAUAUAAGCAACAACUUAAAACAGUCAAGACAAUAUCCCCCAAAGAAAUCACAAAACACAAGCACAAUUUCACAACAGCCACAACAAUGCAAAAAAAAAAAAAUCUACUGGAAUGCCCCCUUGCA